rnacentral:lncRNA from 1 species
UUUUUUUUUUUUUUUGACACAGAGUCUCACUCUGUUGCCCAGGCUGGAGUGCACUGGCACAAUCUUGGCUCCCUGCAACCUCCACCUCCCGGGUUCAAGUGAUUCUCCUGCCCCAGCCUCCUGAGUAGCUGAGAUUACAGGCACAGGCCACCACGCCUGGCUACUGUUUCUUGUAGAGACAGGGUUUCACCAUGUUGGCUAGGCUGGUCUCAAACUCCCGACCUCAGGUGAUCCGCCCGCCUCGGCCUCCCAAAGUGCUGGGAUUAUAGGAGUCAGCCACUGUGCCCGGCUGAGCAGCAAUCUUUAGCAAUCUAAACACAAGUUAACAGAUGAUACCUGACCUUUCUAAAAUGCUCUUUAGGAACUACCUAACCCUGGCCGAUUUCCCAGACUUCACAGUUCCUACUUGCUGCUAAGACCAGCAUAACAGCUAACAGUGUUACCACUGCUUUCAGAUCCUACCUGCCCACUCCUGCCUCCUCCCCUCUGCAUAUGCCCCCAAAUUGCUAGGACCCUAUGAUUCAGUCAGUGCAGACUCUAACCCAGUUUCUGGAUAAGCACGGGCACGAACCCUAAACAAGUGAGAGUAUUACAUUCCCCAGGCCAGUGACUAGAGUACAUGGGCAAGUGGCCAGUCAGAGCCAACUAGAUUCAAUUCUGAUCAUCAUAUUGGAACUGUUGAAAAAGACAAUCACUCUUUUCUCCCUGAGACUUUAAGCUGGGAAGAAAGUAGCCAGAGUUUCUGGGGCCUGCUAUGAAGAGACAACCUGCUUGGAAGAAAUGCUAAUGCAGGAGGAUGCACAGCCAGGACAGGGAGACAGAAUUCAACUAUAUAACAUUUUUUUAGCCCCUGAAUUUAGCCAUGCCUGAAGCUUAUUAUACCCCAGGACUUUUUAGUAAUAAAUUAUUUAAACCAACAAAUUCCCUUUAAAGAAUAAAAAGACAAGACAGAGAUUGGGAAACGUUAUCUGUAAUGUAUGUAUAUGUAAUAUACAUAUUUUACGUAUAUAUGUAAUAUAUGAUACAUGGUUUAUACGUAUCUAUACCUGUGUACCUAGAUAUAGAUAUACAUACAUACAAUAAAGGACAAGUAACCAGAAGGAAGCCCUUUACUUUUUUUUUUAAAAAAGGAACCAUAAAUCUGGGUGUGGUGGCUCAUGCCUAUAAUCCUAGCACUUUGGGAGGCUGAGGUGGGCGGAUCACCUGAGGUCAGGAGUCCAAGACCAACCUGUCCAACAUGGUGAAACCCUGUAAAAAAAAUACAAAACUUAGCCAGGUGUGGUGGCACAUGCCUGUAAUCCCAGCUACUC